ACAAUAAAAAUAGCUCCUUCAAACAGAAAAUAUAAUAAAAAUAGACAUGAUGAUGAAAAUAAGGAUAUCUUGUCUAAUCCAAAAUAAGAAAAAUCCUAUGAAAAAGUAAAAUAAAGUUAACAAUUAGAUGCAGGAUUUCAGAUUUCACAACGAAACAACCAUCUAACAUGCAAGACAAAUUCCACCACAUCUGAUGUUCCAAUUGUCACUAGAGUGAAUCUUCCUGUAAUCGAAGAAGCUAAACCUCAAGGACAAACUAUAUUCUCCUAUUCAUGUCAGGUAAGCAGAUAUUCCACUUGCAAUUGUGAACUAUGCAGAUAUAGAAUAUCACGCAAUGUUACAUUGUUAAAACAGGUAUAGCUAGGAAUUAAAAUUAAUUUCAUCCUGGUGAACAAGAUAAACUUGAUUCCCAAGUUUUCUUUCUCUGCAUAUUCCUGUUGGCAUUAAAUAAAAGCCGACAGGCUGGAUUACAGAGAUAACAGUCAUUCAUAAUGAAUGAUAGCUUCUAAAACAUCCAACUGCACACCUCCUUAAAAAGAAUUUCAAAGAAAAUAGGAUAACCAAAAAUAAGACAGUAGCCAGAAACCCUAGUGACCAGCCACAAACCCUUUUGCAGAUUUUACAUAAGUUAAUCAAGUAAACUAGGACUCUUAGGACUUGUUUGCUUCGUGGGAAAAGAAGGGGGGAAAGUGUGGUCAACAGAAAAAUGAAAAAAUAGCUCAUGUCUGGUUGGAUAUUUCAAACGAGAGAGAUGGAAAAGUAACUGACAACUGAAACAGAAAACAAAUAACUUGAUCCAAGAUAACCUUUGGUCAUUUAAAUCAGUUAAUGGAUAUUAACUAAUAUAAUUUAAGAUGAACUCCCACAAAUGGCAUAUUACUUACAGGCAUCAAUAAAUGGAAUAGAAAUAAAAAUGCAGAAAAAGAGAAUGCCCCUCUGGCAAUUUUUAUUCAGUGUACUUUUAUUCAUACAAUAAAUUAUUUGAAGAAUGUGAACACCUAUAAUACCAGCCAUAUGGCAUAGAAGAAACAAUUAGACUUAGCUAUGAUGUAAUAACUCUAACAUAUACCAAAGUCAAACUUCUUAGAAAGCAAGCAAUCAGUCUUCUAAAUUUAUUUAAUUUGAUACACAUAUACAAAGCAUGGUUAGCAUAGGCAUAUCACAAUUUCAAUGACUCUAAAAUUCACUCAGUUGCAAUGCUAUUGUCACAACUAAUUGCUUUGAAUAGAGUUUAGGUUGAAUCCUUUCUACCAAUAUCACAAGUCAAUCUCUGUAUAUCACUUCCAAUCCUAUAAUCGAUAAGGUAGGCCAUGAGAAGGCAUGCAUUUAUAAAUAAGAAACCUCUAGGUGUUGAAAGAAAAUGCAAAUCAAACAAAAAUUCAGAAAAUCAUGCAAGUGUAGCUCAGCCAGCACCCAUGAGCAAAGACAGAAGGAAAGUAUAAUAGAAUGUGCUCAAGGAGAUAUAAUGACUGGUGCAUGUCUGUGUGUGUAUGUUUUGUUUUGGAUGAGGGUGCCGGCGAUCUUGGAAUGGAAGGGUUUGAUAUUAGCUAUCAAUGCUCAGGUAAGGCCUGUAACAACAAUACUCUAUAUAUUUGUAGAUGGACAUCAAAAGACAUCAGAAUGAAGUAAAUAUUUACAAGAAAUCCCAAUAGACUGCAAUUUUGUGACUUGAAGCAACACACUCAUUACACUAGUAAUAGAGAUGAAAUUGCAUUGCACAAACAAAAUCAGUUUUAUGAUGGAAAUAUGAAAGUAUAAUCGACUUUGGAAAGCAUAUGAAUGAAGAUUCAUAUAACAAUACAGUAGAAGAGCCCUCAUCCCAUUCAAGCUCAUGAACGGCUACGUUCAAUCAGUGUCAGCCUUAGCAAUUUCUCACAACCUCCAAUUAACGAUGUUUUAAGCCUUCUCCAAAUUUUUCUUAGCCCUUCUGAUGCAAAUCCAGCUUGUUCGCCCUACUCAAGCCUACUCAGAUCUUCAUGAAAAAUGUGAUGCCUUGUUAAUCAGUUAGUUCCUUACCACUUCAAUCCUACUGCAACUUCCACUUCUAUUAUACUUAGGAUCCCAGUGUUAUUUCAUUUUGACUUCAAGUAAUUAUCUCUCCAACAUCAUCUAAUGCACUCGAACUCCUUAUCGCUAAACAAUCUAAUACAUAAAACAUUGUGAGCCUCACUUUAUUAUCUAGUUAUUGUUGUCUUGAUUACAAAGGUACAAAAACAAGGCAUACCAAUAAAUCAUCCAACUUGUUUUGACUCUCCAACAUAUAUCUCAGUGUAUCUCUUCAAUAUUUUUCUGUAUUGUGAAUCAAAGAUAAGGAAAAAUGAUCACAUCCGUGCAAUUAUUGACCAUCAAUUUUGACCAAAAAAAGCCUCAUUUAGCAUUUGUUUAAAUGUCUUGACAAUGACUGCAUUUCAAACACUUAAUGAGUAGAACUACGUUUAUAAGUAAUUAUCAGGGAUGCCUAAUUUAAAAUUACACUAAUCACUAAGCUGCUUCAAGUUGAAGGUAAGCAGUCAAUUAGGGAACGACAAAGACCGUGAAUAUCAAAUUGCACACAAUUCUUCAACAAUCCAUAUUAUCAAAAUUUUGGCUAAAAACAUUAUUCGAGGAACAUCGUUAUGAUGCUUUUUUUCCAGAUAGAAGUAACUAGUUUGCAAUCACAAUAAUUGCAUUAUCCAAGAGAACUCGAUGAAUAUUCAUAUUAUGCAAAAGCAUCAAAAAAAAAGGUUUCUCAAACUAGACAAAGGAAUCUAAUUAGGCUGGUCUAAAUGAAGUAUAGAUGAUUUUCUAAAUUGGAAACAAACUCCUCUCAGAAAUUAUGCUCGCUGUGUUGAGGGUUGAGGAUGUAGCAAUAUGGAAAAACUUGAUAGUAUUAUGAUUACAUAGUUAUCUAGUCAUCUUGAUGAUUGGUUGCAUAGUGUUUAAUUACUAGAAAUUUGCAUCACAAAAAGCUACGUAAAAUCAACAUAACAUCAUGCUUUUUUUUUUUUUGGAUCAUCAUGUCGGCAAAUCCUAGUGGCUUACUAGCCUUGUAUUACAGGUAAAUCCCUCUUCCAGCCCAAGUUGUCUUGGAUAGAAAUCCAACACCAAUUAAAUGGAGCAAUGCCGAGUAAAAACAGGAACUUAACAUCAUUUUCAAACUUUGAUAAAGAAAGCACAAUUUUUUUUUUCUUUUGAUGAAAUAAAGAAAGCACAACUUUUUUUUUCUUUUGAUGAAAUAAAAAAAGCAUAACUUGAUAGAUAAUGCUGAUCAGACGUGGAGGGCAUGAGGUUUGCUAGCUUAUUUGGGCAUGCUUACCUUUUCAUGCAUAGCCCGAUGCAAAAUGGUAGGACAUGCAUAAAGAACCAAUAAGGCGAGCAAAAAAGGAGAAGAUGAAAACAAAUCCACAUGGCUCAUCCUCAAAAGGCCUUUCUAUGAGAGUCAAAAGAUACUUGUCAUGUGCCUUCAUAUUGCCAAUAACAAUUACGCAAUUGAAAUAUCAGCUGCUAAUCAUUUUCAAAGAAGAAGAAGAAGAAGAAGAAGAAAUAUCAGCUGUUGUAGUGUAGUUCUGUCAUUGACUAGCAGGUAUAAUGCAAGAUUAAAUCCCACAAGCACAAAGAAAGCAAAGAAGGAACUUUAUUGCCAAAGCAAUUCUUUUCGGUCAUAAAGCAUCAUCCAAGGAUGAAAUAUGCAAGGCAUCUUUUGCACUACAAAAGUUGGCAUGAGGACACUACUUCUCGAAGCAAUACGUGAAUUGUCAAGAGCAGGUGACAAGGAAACACCGGAUCUGAUAAGGAUGGAAGAUUGCACUUCAACCUAUCAUUGAGAACCAUUGAUUUUUGCUGCAAUCGGACAAAUUCAUAGCUAACUUCUUUUCCCUUUUUUUCCGGUUGAUGAAUUCAUAGGGUGGUUCAUCGGCAACUAGAAUCAAUAAAAUGAGCAAGUCAACCAAGAAACCUAAUGUUGAGGUAUUGACAUCUAUAAUUCAGUGCUCUACACUAUCCAGGCAAUUCCUGAUUCUGCCCGAUUUUCUAAGCAUGCAUUUUUGUGAUGCAGGUUGUUGUAGCUCCUGUGUCGACUCCGCUUGCAAAAUUUACUAAAAAAGGUUCAUUUUUCCUUCACUAAUAUAUUUAUAUUACCAGGUUUUUUUGUCUUGGUUAUUCUUUUUCUUUUUGAUUUCUAAGAGAUCUGCCAUGUUUGAUGAUCAGGCAAGAGGGAUGCGAAAGAAGCAAUAGAGAAACCAGUGAGCGCAAAGAAGCAGAAGAGAGAAGUUGAGCUGGAGAGGGGAAGCAAGAAAAGGAAACCCUCAUAGGAGAAAGUGCUUGCUCCCUCCACUCAUCGCUGAAGGUCGUUUUCUUCCACGCAAAAAAAAUAGUUUAUAAUGUUUCUGGUAUUGCAGGUGCUGUCAACAAUGUUUUUGAUAUGCAUGGCACUAAAAUGAGAGCUAAGAAUAGCAGCAUCGUUUAUCCGUACUGGAUGUACCAAUGCUUAGCUUAUUAGGAGUUCCCUCUCGUCCCCUACCACCGCCACCACCACGUCAACAUGUCCACCACGCUGGCCUCCAAAAUCUUCCACCACCUCUGUCUAAGAGAUAUGGAGGACAACGUGGUGGACAUGUUGACGUGGUGGUGGCGGUGGUAGGGGACGAGGGGGGACCCCUAACAAGCUAAGCAUUAGUACAGCGAGUACGGAUAAACGAUGCUGCUUUUCUUAGCUCUUAUUUUAGUGCCAUGCAUACCAGAAACAUUGUUGACAGCACCUGCAAGACCAGAAACAUUAUAAACUAUUUUUUUUACAGGGAAGAAAAUGACCUUCAGCGAUGACUGGAGGGAGCAAGCACUUUCUCCUGUGAGGAUUUUCUUUUCUUGCUUCCCCUCUCCAGCUCAACUUCUCUCUUCUGCUUCUUUGCGCUCACUGGUUUCUCUAUUGCUUC